GACGAACGCUGGCGGCGUGCCUAAUACAUGCAAGUAGAACGCUGAAGGAGGAGCUUGCUCUUCUGGAUGAGUUGCGAACGGGUGAGUAACGCGUAGGUAACCUGCCUGGUAGCGGGGGAUAACUAUUGGAAACGAUAGCUAAUACCGCAUAACAGUAGAUGUUGCAUGACAUUUACUUAAAAGGUGCAAUUGCAUCACUACCUGAUGGACCUGCGUUGUAUUAGCUAGUUGGUGGGGUAACGGCUCACCAAGGCGACGAUACAUAGCCGACCUGAGAGGGUGAUCGGCCACACUGGGACUGAGACACGGCCCAGACUCCUACGGGAGGCAGCAGUAGGGAAUCUUCGGCAAUGGACGGAAGUCUGACCGAGCAACGCCGCGCGAGUGAAGAAGGUUUUCGGAUCGUAAAGCUCUGUUGUAAGAGAAGAACGAGUGUGAGAGUGGAAAGUUCACACUGUGACGGUAUCUUACCAGAAAGGGACGGCUAACUACGUG
rnacentral:rRNA from 1 species